UAAACCCAGGCAAAAUCCAUAAAUUCCAAAACACAAUUAGAAACUCAGAAUUGAAGAGACAUACAAAUUAAAAUUUCCCCAAUUCUUCAUCUUCUUCAAUCGUGCCUUCUUCUUCUUUUCCUCCUCUAUUAAAAGACUAAACCUCAUACUAAAGAGUACCUCAUACUAAAGAUCAGUAAAGACAUCAAUGAUCAAACAGAAGCAGGGGCGCCAUAUCGAGAAACCCAAACAUGUUAGUUUAGGGGUCUCUUGUUCUGGUCUGCAUAAAUGGCCAUUAGGCCGUCUAGGCCCAUGCCGUCCUAGAGGAUUCACAACUAAGUGGAUAUCGCGCUGGUCGGCCAGGACGAACAAGAAGAAGCUUAACUCACAACCAUAGGUGCUCUCCGCUUCUUGCUCCACCGUGCCUUGCCCCACCUUGGCCUGAGUUCAUCACCACUGGAACUGCAGGGUAGAGUCUGAGUGUCUCAGCCAAAGCUGCAUGCAAAUAAUGCAUCUUUUCAAGGGCCCCAUCAGUUAGCCUAUCUGCAAGUUCAUCAAUAUUGCAAAUGUUGUUCAACUUUGUUACUGCUUGAACUUCAUGUGCAAUUUUUUCUUGGAUAUCAGGAUGCUUGCAGAGCAUGUAAAAUAACCAAGAAAGAGUAGCAGCUGUUGUAUCUCUUCCUGCAAUCAUGAAGUUGAGGAUAAUGUCUCUAAGAUAACUUGGAUCUGUUUCUUUGGAUGCCAUAAACCUUGAGACCAUGUCUUCUCUUCUCAUCUGACAUUAGAUGUGUAAUUAAAAUGGAUAAUCACUUCACCAAUUUUGCAUCACUAAGGUAUAAGAGAUGGUUGUAACUUGUAAGAGUUAAGACUCACUGGCAAAUUAUGUGGUAAGUUUUGGACUUGCUCUAUCUUGCUUUUGAUGAUUUUAUAAACAAAUUCAUCCACCACUUUAAUAUGGUUCCUCAGUGCUGCUUCUGUUCCAAUGUUGAGGAACCGCUUUAUUCUCCAGAAAAUAUCAACAUAACGAUACAAGGUAAUGGCACUUGCUUCAUCAAAUGCAUUGGAGAAUUUGGUUCCUUCUUUGUUUGUUCCAGAAAUGGUGUCCAAGUCUACGCCAAGGAUAACCUUAAACACUGAAUCUAGAGUCGAUUUCAUGAACAACUCCUGCCAUGCACCAUUAGAUUAAUAGGUCUUUUAUUUAUAUAAGACUGUUAGAAAUAUAUAUAAUAUUAUUUGUGUUUUAUAA